UGGCGAGUGGCCUAACUGGCAAGGCACCUGACUCUGGAUCAGGGGAUUGAAGGUUCGAGUCCUUCCUCGCCAGCCA
rnacentral:tRNA from 1 species